rnacentral:rRNA from 1 species
AGACAGGUUAGUUUUACCCUACUGAUGACCGUCGCCUCAAUGGUAAUUCCGCUUAGUACGAGAGGAACCGCGGAUUCAGAUAAUUGGUUUUUGCGGCUGUCUGACCAGGCAGUGCCGCGAAGCUACCAUCUGCUGGAUUAUGGCUGAACGCCUCUAAGUCAGAAUCCAUGCCAGAACGGGGUGAUUCUCCCCUGCACAUCGUACUCGGAUACGAAUAGG